GAUGAACGCUGGCGGCAUGCCUAAUACAUGCAAGUCGAACGAGAGGAAGGAAAGCUUGCUUCUUUGCUGACGAGUGGCGGACGGGUGAGUAAUGUCUGGGAAACUGCCUGAUGGAGGGGGAUAACUACUGGAAACGGUAGCUAAUACCGCAUAACGUCGCAAGACCAAAGAGGGGGACCUUCGGGCCUCUUGCCAUCGGAUGUGCCCAGAUGGGAUUAGCUAGUAGGUGGGGUAACGGCUCACCUAGGCGACGAUCCCCUAGCUGGUCUGAGAGGAUGACCAGCCACACUGGAACUGAGACACGGUCCAGACUCCUACGGGAGGCAGCAGUGGGGAAUAUUGCACAAUGGGCGCAAGCCUGAUGCAGCCAUGCCGCGUGU
rnacentral:rRNA from 1 species